rnacentral:siRNA from 1 species
AGACACUGAAUCUUCAACAUCCA